rnacentral:rRNA from 1 species
UACGAACGCUGGCGGCGUGCUUAACACAUGCAAGUCGAACGGAAAGGCCCUGCUUUUGUGGGGUGCUCGAGUGGCGAACGGGUGAGUAACACGUGAGUAACCUGCCCUUGACUUUGGGAUAACUUCAGGAAACUGGGGCUAAUACCGGAUAGGAGCUCCUGCUGCAUGGUGGGGGUUGGAAAGUUUCGGCGGUUGGGGAUGGACUCGCGGCUUAUCAGCUUGUUGGUGGGGUAGUGGCUUACCAAGGCUUUGACGGGUAGCCGGCCUGAGAGGGUGACCGGCCACAUUGGGACUGAGAUACGGCGCAGACUCCUACGGGAGGCAGCAGUGGGGAAUAUUGCACAAUGGGCGGAAGCCUGAUGCAGCAACGCCGCGUGCGGGAUGACGGCCUUCGGGUUGUAAACCGCUUUCGCCUGUGACGAAGCGUGAGUGACGGUAAUGGGUAAAGAAGCACCGGCUAACUACGUG